CCCAUGGUAACCACUUCAGCACAGAGGCGAGUGAGUGAGUGGGUAGGGUUUCAGCUGUUCAGCGAGUGCUCUCUGGUGAUCUCGCAGAGAUAGUAGUCUAGAGCCUGUCGUCUAGGACACUGCAGGACCGCUUUGAAGAGCUCAUCAAAUGGCAAAGCUGAACCACACGGCAACUGAAUAGAGCUCCCUUUCAAAUAGGAAAUGACUUGUUGAUUUAUCCAAAUCUACAGAAUGCCUCACAUGACUUUGAUAUAGACACUCACCUGAAGAUAGUAAGGUGGUUGGAGAAGAAGACAGUUAGUUGCAACUUGCCCGAGGCAACCCCCCCCCCCCUCCCUGUCAAAAGUUAGGUCGUAAGGAUUUCUAUACCUUACGAUUCGCUUUUCAUCUUUCUCCCGAUGAAUAUUGGAAUUUCGUAGUGGAUAAAAAUCGAAUAAACACUUACAACAAAAAUGGAAGAAGAUCAAAAGUGGGGAGUUGUUGAUAAAAGUGUGCGGAUGACUUGCAGUGACCACCGUUGCAAAAAGCGCUUUUGGACGAAUUGGAAAGAUUUGUCCGGUAUAACUGUCUGUAUCGCAUUAUCUUUAUUGUCUCUUGGAUUUUGCGUUCUCGUUUACCUGAGUACAUCGGAGCUGAAGUCCAGGAUACUAAACCUGGAAAAACAGAGAGAUACGCAGCUCUCCUCGUGGAUCACACUCGAGCAGGUGGAACCCGUUGUUUUUGGACGAAUAGAUCAGAUUCUGGAAGAGAAAUUGGCGGCUCGACUUCCCAAAACACGAGAGACCAGAGAAGCGCCCCAUAGCUGUGUCUGUCCACCAGGACCUCCUGUAAGUAGAGCUGAUACCUUGUGUGACCAUGCAGAGAGUGGUAAAGUGACUGUGUUUUUGUGUUUGGGAGUGGUUUUUUGUGUGUGCAAUGGGUAUAUGUAAGUCCUUAAAGGUACAGUGAUAUCUCUGUUUGAUGGUACCUAAUCUUGCCUAAAUGCACCCUUUUGGUGCUGCUGUGUGGUGUGUUUGCAGAGACCUUGUAAAGAGCGGCAACAUGAUGGUUUUGAAGGCAUAUCAUUGAGCAUAUCAAGGCAAUUCGUUAAACAUGGUCAUUAUAGUCAACUUGCGUUGUUUG